rnacentral:tRNA from 1 species
GCCGCGACAGCUCAGGGGGGAGAGCGUCAGACUGAAGAUCUGAAGGGCCCUGUUUCGAUCCCGGGUCGCGGCA